UACUUUCGUUUUCUGUCCACCGGAUACACUUAGGACGCCAUUUUUGCUAUUGCUUCUUGUAGAUCAUUUUACCGAGAGGAGGAUGUCAGUAGCAUUUUAUUGUAAUACAAAGAAUAGAAACUAUGCAAGCAAAACAUUACCUUGUUUUCCAGUUUGUGUUUAUAUGGCAAGAUAUUGUUUCUAGUCAAGGUCCAAAUGCCAUAUUUCGAUUAGAGAAUACUAAUGUCAAGAUGACUAUUAAAAUCACGCCAAACGUUUCGCAACCAGUCACCACCAUCAGGCUAGACCGUCGCGAUGGAAGCCCCACGGAAAUUGUUGCCUUCAUCUACUUAGGAGAUUUCGGUUAUGAAAUUCAAACGGCUUAUUCAGAAAGGCUAAUUCUGACGACUUCAGCCCAAGAGAGAAUAGUGGUGUUGUUUAUGUCAGGGCUAAGACCCAGUGACGCAGGCAUGUAUCAGUGUUGGGAUGGUGCCUUACAGGCUACAAUUAUAGAAAACUGUGGUCAGAAGCUGAUCAUUGUACGUAAACCAAAUCAACCAAUUAUAUUUUCACUGACCAAAGCUCUAAAAGGUAAUACACUUGAACUCUCUUGCAACGCCAGUUCUACAAGUCUACCAGCAGACCAUGGACUGAAGCAAGCCAUAGUCUGGCGCGAUGAACACAAUACUAUUAUAGGUAUACCCGCUGGAGAAAAGUUCGUAGUGAAUCCUAACAGUCAGCUGGAGAUCAGAAAUUUAGAGCAUAGUGACAUCGGACGUCAACUGACAUGUACGUCAUCAGAAAAAGCCGAGGGCCUGGCUACUACUCCAGUCUCUGAGCCUAGUCUACCGUAUCAAAUUAGAUUGGAAGGAGCACCUUCAGAGAAAGAUGUCCGCCUGACUCCACCGAUUAGAAAUAAAGCAAAGAUAAUCAGAAGAGAGCAGGAACGUUUAAGUUACAAUUGUUCCGCAGAAUGUGAACCUCGCUGCACGGUCCAGUGGACUUUCGAGACUCUGAACUCUCAAACUCCACUAAAUCUCAGUGAUCCUGGAGUUUUAAAACUGAGAGUAAAACAAGAAGACCACGGAGUUUACAGAUGUAUUGCCAAAAACACAUUCGGAGAAGCUUCUAAGGAGUUUAAACUUGAAGUUCAAUAUAUACACAAGCCUGUGUUAUUUGGCAGUGGACCAGUUCAAGAUAAAAGUUGUAUUGAAGUGAAGGAAACUGCUAAACUGAGUCUGACAUGUCUAGUGGAUGCUUUACCUGAGCCAGAGAUCAGCUGGAAAUCUCCAGACGACAAAGAGCUGUCUGCAGUUGCAAGCAGACCAUAUCUCUUAGACAACGACUUUCCCAACAAUCAUAGCUUGCAACUUUUACUGAAGUCCGUCCAACUGGAAGACAGUGGCGGCUAUAUUUGUGAGGCUAGCAACGCUGUGGACUUUGUCUACGUUAUGGUCAACAUCUCUGUCGUUGGCCCUCCAAGCGUAGUCAACAUGUAUGGCCUCCAGCUUUACCCUGUUUACUUCCGAGAUUUCCGACAAAAUGUCACUUUGAAUAUCUCAUUCGUCGUCAAAUCAGUCACCGAGCCUUCAGUCGAGUCUGUGAGGUCGAAACGAAUAGAUUCUGAAGCCAUUCGUUUUGAAAACAUGACCAGUGAUGUCUCCAUACAGAAAAGGACUAAGAAAGAAAGAAGAUAUUAUCUGACAAUAUUUACUUUCUCUGUCCUCCGACCACUGGACAUCCAGGACAAGGACAGCACGUUCACUCUGACAUUAACCAGUUCCAAUUAUUCAAGAGAUGUCCAAUUUGUCUUAAAGGAUAUCGGUCCACCAAGACCAGUGACCAACAUCACAGCCCUGGAAAUUACACACGAGGCAGUCCAACUGAUGUGGAUACCUGGGCCUAAUGGAGGGGUCGAACAGCGCUUCAAUUUGGAGUACAGAUGUCUAAAUAAUAGGAUAUGUGGCUCGAACUGGAUGCCUGCUAUUCUGGCUGUUCCCGAGAAUAUUACACAGGCUAACCUUGCCAACUUGAAGCCUGCUACAGAGUACGAGUUUAGAGUUGUUUCCACCAAUUCGCACGGGUCCACGGAAUCUCAACCAUUACUGGUGAGGAUAGGGGAGAGAAUAGUAAUGACCACUUCAGUGCCUCAAACAGACCAGAGAAACCUAAUGAUGGCUGUUGUAAUCUUCUCUGUUGUAACCAUCAUUGUUGUCAUAAUCACUAUAUAUGAACUAGUUCAGAAAUGCAAAUGAGGUCGAUGCAAAAGUGGUGGUCCAUGAGUUAGGGUUAAGAAGUAUGAAGAGAAUUAGAUAUGUUUUCACCCAAAGAGCUUCGGCCUAUUUAGGAGAAUUGUGAUUAUAUCUUCAAUCUACACAUAUCAAUAAAGGUUUCGAAUCAGUAUUUCAAA